AAGCUGGAACUAUAAUAAUAUCGCUAUCAUCAUUAUUUUACUAUUUUCUUCAUUGCGGCCCCAGCGGCCAGAUAAUUCGUUAGUGUUACGGCC
rnacentral:misc_RNA from 1 species